GAUGAACGCUGGCGGCGUGCCUAAUACAUGCAAGUCGAGCGAACAGACGAGGAGCUUGCUCCUCUGACGUUAGCGGCGGACGGGUGAGUAACACGUGGAUAACCUACCUAUAAGACUGGGAUAACUUCGGGAAACCGGAGCUAAUACCGGAUAAUAUAUUGAACCGCAUGGUUCAAUAGUGAAAGACGGUUUUGCUGUCACUUAUAGAUGGAUCCGCGCCGCAUUAGCUAGUUGGUAAGGUAACAGCUUACCAAGGCAACGAUGCGUAGCCGACCUGAGAGGGUGAUCGGCCACACUGGAACUGAGACACGGUCCAGACUCCUACGGGAGGUAGCAGUAGGGAAUCUUCCGCAAUGGGCGAAAGCCUGACGGAGCAACGCCGCGUGAGUGAUGAAGGUCUUCGGAUCGUAAAACUCCGUUAUUAGGGAAGAACAAAUGUGUAAGUAACUAUGCACGUCUUGACGGUACCUAAUCAGAAAGCCACGGCUAACUACGUG
rnacentral:rRNA from 1 species